rnacentral:rRNA from 1 species
AGGGUGGAUUAGUGGCGAACGGGUGAGUAACACGUGGGCAAUCUGCCCUUCACUCUGGGACAAGCCCUGGAAACGGGGUCUAAUACCGGAUAACACUCUGUCCCGCAUGGGACGGGGUUAAAAGCUCCGGCGGUGAAGGAUGAGCCCGCGGCCUAUCAGCUUGUUGGUGGGGUGAUGGCCUACCAAGGCGACGACGGGUAGCCGGCCUGAGAGGGCGACCGGCCACACUGGGACUGAGACACGGCCCAGACUCCUACGGGAGGCAGCAGUGGGGAAUAUUGCACAAUGGGCGAAAGCCUGAUGCAGCGACGCCGCGUGAGGGAUGACGGCCUUCGGGUUGUAAACCUCUUUCAGCAGGGAAGAAGCGAGAGUGACGGUACCUGCAGAAGAAGCGCCGGCUAACUACGUGCCAGCAGCCGCGGUAAUACGUAGGGCGCAAGCGUUGUCCGGAAUUAUUGGGCGUAAAGAGCUCGUAGGCGGCUUGUUGCGUCGGUUGUGAAAGCCCGGGGCUUAACCCCGGGUCUGCAGUCGAUACGGGCAGGCUAGAGUGUGGUAGGGGAGAUCGGAAUUCCUGGUGUAGCGGUGAAAUGCGCAGAUAUCAGGAGGAACACCGGUGGCGAAGGCGGAUCUCUGGGCCAUUACUGACGCUGAGGAGCGAAAGCGUGGGGAGCGAACAGGAUUAGAUACCCUGGUAGUCCACGCCGUAAACGUUGGGAACUAGGUGUUGGCGACAUUCCACGU